AGGAAAUAGAAACCGAAUAAGGAAAUAGAAACCGAAAAAGGUAAUGAAUAUUGAAAAAGGAAAAAGAAACCGAAUAAGGAAAAAGGAACCGAAUAAGGAAAAAGAAACCGAAUAAGGAAAUGGAAAUUGAAUAAGGAAAUGAAAAUCCAAUAAGGAAAUAGAAACCGAAUAAGGAACUAGAAACCGAAAAAGGAAAUGAAUAUUGAAAAAGGAAAAAGAAACCGA
rnacentral:lncRNA from 1 species